AUGACCUUUUUGACCUUCCUCUUUGUUGUCUGUUUAAAAUCAGUGGCACACAAUAUGAAGUACUACACAGUUGAGACUGGCAAUACUUUGGAAACUCAUAUUCAGUUUAUGAGACGACUCAACAACACCACAAGAUGUUUUACGGAAGUCAAGUCUCCAGUGGAGAGUGAUGUCAUCAUGGCUUUCUGUCCCAUCGUCUCCCGCGCCGGGACUGAUAUUGAAGCAGCACUGCAACAGAUUCCAAUGGGUAAAGAUGUCAUUCUGGUAGUGCUGCAUCACACCUUCAACCCAGACUACACUGUACCUUACAGCAGCAGACUAGUGACCAGAAGUGAUGUAAUACUCACAGUGGACUGUCUGUUCCAUGAGAGACUGGGAGGACUACUGGACUGUCCUCGCAAUGAUGCAGCAGUCAGAAAUAUUAGGCAGAAGUUUGACACAGUGGACUGUCUGUUCCAUGAGAGCCAGGGACUACUGGACUGUCCUCACAAUGAUGCAGCAGUCAGAAAUAUUAGGCAGAAGUUUGACACAGUGGACUGUCUGUUCCAUGAGAGCCAGGGACUACUGGACUGUCCUCACAAUGAUGCAGCAGUCAGAAAUAUUAGGCAGAAGAUUGACAUAGAUCCUGUGGCCAGAAAUCGUGACUGUCUAGCUUGGAUUCUAAACGCUGCCAUGGUGUUACUGUCUUUAUGCUGCAACUGCCCUUGUGUGGUGUUUUCUUACAUGAUGGGGCUCAUCUCAGGCAAAAAUCCAUGUCCCUUUGCAAGACCUCAUUCCAGAAAUGAAGACUAUUUACAUUUGGCCCAACUAUGA
rnacentral:lncRNA from 1 species